rnacentral:sRNA from 1 species
GCGGAGGAAAAGAAACCAACAGGGAUUGCCUCAGUAACGGCGAGUGAAGCGGCAACAGCUCAAAUUUGAAAUCUGGUCCCCUCUGGGGGCCCGAGUUGUAAUUUGAAGAGGAUGCUUUUGGCGAGGCGCCUUCCGAGUGCCCUGGAACGGGACGCCACAGAGGGUGAGAGCCCCGUAUGGUAGGACGCCGAGCCUCUGUAAAGCUCCUUCGACGAGUCGAGUAGUUUGGGAAUGCUGCUCAAAAUGGGAGGUAAACCCCUUCUAAAGCUAAAUAUUGGCCAGAGACCGAUAGCGCACAAGUAGAGUGAUCGAAAGAUGAAAAGCACUUUGAAAAGAGAGUUAAACAGCACGUGAAAUUGUUGAAAGGGAAGCGCUUGCGACCAGACUUGCGCCCGUCGGAUCAACCGUCCCUCGUGGGCGGCGCACUCCGGCGGGCUCAGGCCAGCAUCAGUUUUCCUGGGGGGAGAAAGGCGGUGGGAAUGUAGCUCUUCGGAGUGUUAUAGCCCGCCGCGUAAUGCCCUCGGGGGGACUGAGGACCGCGCGUAUGCAAGGAUGCUGGCGUAAUGGUCGUCAGCGACCCGUCUUGAAACACGGACCAAGGAGUCGUCCUAAUAUGCGAGUGUACGGGUGUAAAACCCCUGCGCGUAAUGAAAGUGAACGGAGGUGAGAGCUUCGGCGCAUCAUCGACCGAUCCUGAUGUUCUCGGAUGGAUUUGAGUAAGAGCAUAUUGGGCCGGACCCGAAAGAAGGUGAACUAUGCCUGUAUAGGGUGAAGCCAGAGGAAACUCUGGUGGAGGCUCGCAGCGGUUCUGACGUGCAAAUCGAUCGUCAAAUAUGGGCAUGGGGGCGAAAGACUAAUCGAACCUUCUAGUAGCUGGUUUCCGCGA